ACAUGGAAGUCUCCAAGCCUGUGCCAUCCACCUGCCAAGGAAAAGCACAAGCUCAAGGCUGUAGGAGGAAGAAAAAUCUAGUCCCUGGGGGUACUGAUGAAUCAGUUGGAUGGUGGGCGUUGGACUGUGAAUUCCUGAUGCCUCUGGGUAAACUCUGGAGGAAAUUCUGUUUCAUUACUUGCACUCAGCCCUCCUAUUUUGUACUAAGGCAGUAGAGCGAGGGAAGCUGCACUGGCUGAGAGGCUGUGGAACCGGAUGAAAAAGCAGCCCCUGAGUCCUGUGGCGUUGGCUCAUACAGUUUGAACAUUUAUUCGCCUCCUGAGCUUGUACAACAGUCGUGGGAGUUGCUGCAGAAGCAAGCGAAAAGCCAGAUGAGCGCUUCUAAACUUAGAGAGAGGAGAGUUGGGGCCUUCCAUUCCCUCCAGUAAAUACUUGUUUUUCUUCCACCGCUGAGGCAAAUGCGGGGUGGCUGAUCACCUGGCAGACAUCUUAGGAAACAGGAGCACCGGUCUGGGAAACUGCUGGCCUGGCCUAACACCUGGCGCUGUGGUGCAGGAGGGCAGCCACUGAGGAUUCUUGAGGAGAGAGAGACCAUAGAAUGAAUGAAAGAGUUGGAAAGACUUUAAAGCUCUGGGAGGCUGAAUCCUUUAUUUCGCUGGAAGAAAAACUGAAUGCCAAGAGGGCCUCACUUUCCCCAAAGCUAUACAGCCAUCAGGGGCAAUGCUGGGAUUCCCCCAUGGAUCUCUUGACUCCUAAUACAGUGCUCUUUCUGAUAUGCCAUCUGGCUCCAUAAUGAACAUUGUGUUCCAGGAAAAUCAGUCUGCGCUGAACAGGAUGGAAUUGGGGCAGGACGUCCAGUGAGGAGGACAUUGAGGCAGUAGAGCAGUUGAUUGCCGAAUGACCACCUACCCUGACUUAAAAGAUCAACCUCAGGGAGGAUUGGAGCUUUCUAGAGUCUCUUGGGACAGCAGAAGCACAGGCCGGGUUGGACUGAAUCUUUAAGUGGACAUGAGGGACAAAGUACCUCCUGUUGGUAAACAUCUCACCACCAACCCACUGUGGUGGCUAAAAUCCCACCUUUAGUCCCAGCAACAUAUGAGCAUGUCACCAGGAGGUCUUCACAGGCCUGUCUGCCACCUGAGUGUAGACAUCUUUUGGCCCUGGAGCCCAGAGAGGCUGAAUGUGGAGAGGGUGGAGAGAGGUCUGUAGUCCUCAGAGAAGACUUGCAGCUUUUUCAGAGCCACCAACCCAUAAAAAAAAAAAUCCCCAAACAGAAAAAUCCUAACUGUGGUGACCAGGUACCUCCUGAGACAUGAAGCCUCCACUUACCUGGACCCUGGAGGCCUCUCCGGGCACAGCUGCCAAUGUUGAUCUUAGAUAAGACCACCAGCAAGUAAACAUCCACUGUGCAAAGCUGUGUUAUCUUUGGGGAACUGAAAUGUCCCCUGGGAGUUGGAAACUCCCCUAGCCACAUACCACAGAGUUGAGGAAGGAAGAGCUGAUGGACGGAAGAACCAUGGCGGGAGGAGUCAUCCGGAAGCUACCUCGCUGCCCUGUCAGUUACGGAACAGAGGAGAGAUGCCGGCUGGAGGACACAGCAAAUUUGAACCAAGAGGAGCUUGGAGGAAGCCCGAGCGACCUGGAGGGGACUGGCUGACCUUCCUCAUUCUUUUCAAGUGUGAAUAAUAACCAAGCCCAGUUUGGCAACUCCUUGAGGGUGAGGACGAAGCCCCAUUCUCCUUUUUGGAACUUGGUGGGGCUCAGGAAGCAGGUUCUCUCCAGUCGGUGGCUUUCCUUUCUGUUGCGGGUCUCUUGAGGGCCUGCCUUCAUGAAGGCACAUGAGUGACUCAUCAUUUGUGAAUUAAUUGCUAUAUGUGAAGGGCAUCUGAGAACAAAUUAUCUUCAUAGACUUUUCAUUAUAAUUUUAUUUGUACUGAAAAAAAAAAAAAAAAAA
rnacentral:lncRNA from 1 species